rnacentral:lncRNA from 1 species
AUGAGCCCUGCAUUCCUGCUGAGCUGUUUGACUUGGAGGAAUAUUUGAAGAGUAAAACAAAUGAAUGAAAAUGAGAAUAACUAAAGCUGCAGCUCUUAGUCCCCGCCUGUGGCACUCCAGAGAAGCGCUCAGAGAUGACAGGCAGGAAGAGAGACCGAGGGGAUCGGGGCGGGGACGCGGGGCUCUCCGCGGCUCUCCGGGACGACCCGAACAAGGGCUAGGCGACAGCAACCAGGGGCUCUCGCUCUCCUCCUCCCUCCCUCUCUCCUUUCCUUCCCUCACUCUCUUCCGUCCCGUCCCACCGCCCCCUGGGCGGGCCGCCCGCCGUGGCCCAUAUAGGGGCGGCUCGGGUUGCCGGCGGCACAGCGCAUCCUUCCACCCGCGGGCUCCUCUCGGAAAAGAGGCGGAUUCCCAAUUGCGCCGCUGGCAUGGCCUCAGUACCCUCCGCCGGCUGCCUCCUGGCCAAGAACCAGUACUACAGAACAAGACUGAACUCUGA